ensembl:lncRNA
CACCUUAACAACCUUUAUCUGCUUUAUUUAGAUUUUCACAUUUUCUUACAUUGCUCCCAAAUCUGGAAGCAGAUUCUCUGUUUAACAUUUUCCACUUACAUGUAUAAACAUAUGGCACUUAUUUCUCACCAACUGGUGAAAUCACUUAAUAGUGUGAUGUAUCACAUUUUAUCCAUAUAUGCAAAAAGGAUCAAUAUACCACCUACAUGUAUGUUUUACAAAGAACACUCGGCAUGUAAAAGAAAAUAUGAGAAAAAUACACACAGUUAACUUUGCAGAGCUUUGCAAUUCAUUUUCUGGAAAUAAAUUAACUUGGUCAGCAGAAUAUGUAGGACUUUUGUUAAGAUAACUUAAUAGCAAUGGUCACUGGAAAUGAUUCUGUGUAUCCAUAAACUUAAAUUACUAUAUUUUCAGAGGCUCCCACAUAGAAUACUUUGGGUGCUAAGACAACAUAUCUGCUGAAACAGUGAGAUUAAUAGAGUUAAUCUUUAACACAACAUAUUUUUAAUGUUUUUCACUUUGUUCAAAUUAGCAAUGUUUCUUACAUUUAGCAAUACUUUUUAAAAUUUCUCAAGAUUAUAAUAUCCACGAUAAAGCCAGGAUAGCAUGCUGAAAUCAUCCUAAGGAUGAAAUUUCAAAGAGACAGAUGGAAGUGAUUUUGAUCAGUUGCAGCCAGGGCAAUGUUUGAAUAGACUUCUCUAUAAGAAGUACAAAUAGGGCUCACGCUUCUGUCUUUUGAAUUUUUAAUCAAAAUACCAAUCAGUAAAUUACUCUUCCCCAGGGCAGUGGUAACAGCCUGGGAAAAUAUAGAGUCUUAGAAUCCAAGUUAUGCUAGCUCAUGAAGUACUCAUAUUAAAAAACAGGAUAAAGGCAUUAGAUGAUAAAGAGGAAAUUCACUUAGUUUUCAGAACUAAAAAAAUUUAUUUCAUGUAGAAUUAAGUUCUGCUUUCUAUAAAAAUAUAACCAAAAUACAUUGCAAAUGAAAAUGACAUGCUUCACUUACAUUUACUCCUGUCCCCAACUUCUUCCCAAGCAGAAAAAAAAUACAUAUUAUGCUUAAAAUGUCCAUGGCUUGGUUAGGAUUAAAAUGUUGAUACAACCUUCCUUGAAACUGCCCUUCUUUUUUGUGUACUUGGCUUGAGGAAUUUGGUUAAAUAAGUCUUCAGAUUAAUUAUUAAUGUCAGAUAAUGGGAGCACUGAGAAAGAAACCUAAGAACUUAAAUGAUAACCUUUUAAUGUCCACAGGUAAUUUUGGAAUUCAAAACAGAGAAAGUUGAUUUUGAUGACUAAAGCAGAAGAGAAACCCAAAUGGGAGUCUCUAGGAAAAUGUUUCAAAGCUGGACACAGAUACAAAUUAUAUGGUGACUGCUCUGGUCUUGACCAUUUUCUAUUUGAUAUCCUGACCAGAUCUCCUAACUGGGCCUGGUAUACCCAUCCUCCAGAUGCUAUGAGUACUGGCUGCUAAAGUUUCCUAAUUGCUCAUUACUUCAGGUAAUUCACCUCAGCCACAGGUGACAGCUUGUCUAGAAAUACCUGGGAAGUUACAUCCUUUCCCUGGGAUUGGUCCAUAGUCAAUAACUAUCUGAUUCGAGAAGUACAACAGCCUAGCUCCCUUGCUUCCAAGGUGAGGCAACCUUCUGGUACCAUUCUACAGAACCCUUCAUGGGAUCAGGCUGAGGGUAGACCCUGGCUGAAACCACAUCUUUGCAUAGCUUCUCUCCUGCCCUGUCCUGCUUCCCUCACUGCUUACAGGUUCUCUUGAGAAAAGUCUCACAAUAAACCACUUGCUUGAGAGUGUCUUGUCUCAGGCUCUGCUUCUAGGAAAUCAUUCUAAAUUUAAGGAGCAUGAGAGGGCACUAUCAUCCUGGACUCCACGUGGAAUCUCAGGUGUGGAGAUGGUUCUGAGACUUCCCUGAAGUGAGUUUGAUUUGAAUUGGGCCCAUGAGAUCUGUACUAGUGCACUUUAGAGCAGAUCUGAAAUCCCAAGGCAGACUCCCAGAUGUUGAGGUAUUCCCAGGAACUCUGUGACUAGAAUGACCCAUAAAUGACCAGGACUUGGGCAAGGAAACUGUGAAGCUAUACCAAUCUUAGUUUCCUCAAGUCAGCAUUCAAUUGCACGCACAGAUUCAUCCUGAACUAUAAAUCUCUUAGUCAGGAUGGCUGGUGGUUAGGACGAUGGGUUUUGUAAUUACCUCUCCACUUGUCUGCUUUUUUCUUCUAGAUAAUAGUUCCAUGAUGGGUACUGGGUCUAACAAAUACAAUGGGAUACACUUAUAAUUUAUCAUAGCCCCUAAAAAACACAUAGACACUUGUUGUUAAAUGAAUGAAUAAAUGAUUGUGUCAUCAGGUGGGCUAAGGAAGAUGUGGAAAGGUAGGUUGAAGACAAUUAUGUAUGGCCUUGAAUGCCAUGCUAAGGAGUUUAGGUUUCAUUUUGUAUGCAAUGGGGGGAAAUGAGGGACAUUUUUACCUUGCUGCUCUGACCCUAGAGGAUGUUGCCAUCUCUUUAUGACAUGCUAGUGUUCUCCAUUCCAUGAAAAGAACAAACAGGUAGUACAUGCUAUGCAAAGAAUUAGGAAAACUGUUCUCUAAGGUAAAAUGCAAGUAGAAAUUGCUGAAAUUCUGUGAUGACAAACAUUCAUUCAUAACAGACACUUUAAAAAAUGAUCUACCAUAAAAACAUUAAAUUUUGACAGUAUUUAAGCAGGAGUCUCAUAAUUGCAAAGCUAGACAUCAUCAUUUUGUUUAGACUAAAGGAAUUAUAUAAGUAGUAAAUAAACAUUCUCAUGGACAUGAUGCUGCUGACAUACAUGUUUUUGCAAGACUUUCUUCUGGACUGGGGUCAGAAGGCUAAUAUUUAAAUCACUGAGUUCUGAACUACAUCAAGCAGGAGGAAUAAUAGGUAAAUCACUAAGCAAAAAUUUACUGGGAAGGAUGAUUUAAUGUAAAAGGACCUUUAGAUUGCAGCUGAUGCAACUGAUAAGUCUGGCAUCAAUUCAGUCCAGAAUAUUUUCAGACCAAGAGUGUCAGAAACACUUAUCUCUGAUGAGAGUGAUUGUAGCUGUGUUUUAAUUUUUGGCCAGGGGUCUCAGUAAUGAAGUCAUCUGAAGGAAAAAAAAAACAAAACUUUAUCUCAAAGGCAUAUUUAACAUAUGUCAACUCUUCUCACAGAGGCUUCAAAAUUUUGGCCACAUAGGACAAUUUUGUUUCUUGUUUUGUACUCAGUCCCAUGCAUGGACUUAAAUUAUCACUAAGGAGGAACAAACAGUAACAAAGAUUUGCAGCCAAAAGAGCUUCUGGCCAAAUUUUACACUAUUAUCAAUAUGAUAUAACUUAUAUAGACCACAAACAUUUGACAUUCCCUAAUACUGAAACUUUCAGAGGUUCUUCCCCUACGUUGUGACAAAUGGGAACAAAAAAUUGUACAACUGAGGUUAUUUCACGUUUCUUCAACCAUGGCACUACUGAUGUUUGGGGCUGAAAGAUUGUUUUUUGUGGCUGCUCUGUGCAACGUAGGCUGUUUAGCACCAUGCCUGCCCUCCACCCACUUGAUGUCAGUAGAAACUUCCCAGUUAUAAAAAUAAGAUGUCCUUGACAUUGCCAAGUCCCCUAGUGGGUGGGUGGUGGGGGUGGGGAGGCAGGGCAGAAUGGUCCUUGGUUGAGAAUCAGUGGAUUGCUGUAUGGUUUAGCUUUUUAUUUCUUUAUUUAUUUUUGCUUUUUAGGGCCAUACCCACGGCAUAUGGAGGUUCCUAGGCUAGGAGUCUAAUUGGUGCUAUAGCUGCUGGCCAAUGCCACAGCCACAGCAAUGCCAGAUCCGAGCCACGUCUGCCACCUACACCACAGCUCACGGCAAUGCUGCACCCUGAGUGAGGCCAGGGAUUGAACAUGCAGGAAAGUACUUACUUGUGUUCCUAUCAAAGAAAUAGAAUUCAGCAGGUUUUUUCACUUGAGAUGUUUGACUAUUUUAAGUUACCAUCACAAACUGUAAUUCCCUCAGUUUCCCUCAUAGGGAGGAAAAUCAUUACUUCAAGUAUAACCUCUUGGUUCCUAGUCGGAUUCGUUUGCACUGCGCCAUGACAGGAACUCCUGGUUUAGCAUUUUAGCCUCACUCAGCGAGCUCAGGAUCCGGCGUUGCUACAAUUUAUGUCCAAGGUUGCUGCUAUGGCUCGGAUCUGGUGCUGCUGUGGCAAUAGCAUAAGCUGGUGGCUGUGGCUCCAAUUCCACCCCUAGCCUGGGUGGAAUUCCAUAUGCCAUGGGUGUAGCCCUAAAAAAAAAAAAAAAAAAAAAGUAGAGCCGAGGGACCAAGAGCUGGUAAGUAGAAGAAAUAAGGAUAAGAUCUUGAUCGAGGACCAGACGACGAGGUCCAGCAAAUAACAAGAAAUAGGAGCUCCAGAAAGAGGAAAUAGAGAAGAAUGAGGGAGUUUUCAUCAAUUAAAUAAUAAGAAAAAUUUCAGAAUGGAAGAACAUGAGUUAUCAGAUUGGAAGCACUUUCCAAGUGCCAAGCAGAAAGAUGAAAAUAACUGAUACCAAGGCACAUCAUUUGGAGCUUCUGAAACACUGAAGACAAAAAAUAGAUCCUACUAGUUUCUAGAGAGUGAGAAAGAGAGAAGUGACAUAAAGGUGUAGGAGUUGAAAAGAUUAGGAGUUAGAAUAAAGAAUGGCUUGAGCUUUUCAAAAGCCACAUGAGAAGCAAGAAGAUAAUGGAGUAUUAUCUUCAAAGUUCAAAAGUAAAAUUAUUAUUAUUAUUAUUAUUUUGUCUUUUUAGCUAUUUCUUGGGCCAUUCCUGCAGCAUAUGGAGGUUCCCAGGCUAGGGGUCGAAUCGGAGCUGUAGCCACCGGCCUACGCCAGAGCCACAGCAACUCGGGAUCCGAGCCGCAUCUGCAAACUACACCACAGCUCACGGCAACGCCAGAUCGUUAACCCACUGAGCAAGGGCAGGGACCCAAACCUCAUGCUUCCUAGUCGGAUUCGUUAACCACUGCACCACGAUGGGAACUCCAAAAGUAAAAUUAUUUCUGAUGUUGAAUUUUACAUUCAACCAAAGUAGCCAUCAACUGUAAGAGAAUAAAGACAUUUUCAAAAACGCAAGAUUCAAAAAAAUUUUUUUCUCUUAUAUACUCUAUUUCAAUUUGCAACCAGAGAAUGGGCUCUGCCAAAAUAAGAGAAUAUUUCAAGAAAAUAAAGAUGUGGGAUAUACAUAAUUGGAGAUAAAAUGCAUAAAUGAGGCAAAAGGAUUUCUCAAUAGGAUAAUAAAGGGAAAAUCCUGGAUGACAGCCAUGUACAAGAUUUACAGAAAAAUCCAAACACUUGGAGCAGUUGAUACUCAAUGGACAGAUAUAUUAAAGAUCUGGAUCGUGCUGCUCUUACGUCAUCUUUCUAAUUUAAGGUUGUAAUACCCACGUGAGCCUGACCCAGAUUCUUAUUUGUAUUUGGCUUGUUUUAAUCAUGUUCUGAUGAAAUUCCUGCUCUCUGUUCCUGAUCUGCAUUACCCCCCACCAGAUGCCAAACUGCAGCAAUUUCUGUACUACGCACUACAUGACCCUGUACACUGAUAUCCUCAGAAGCAGCUCUUGUACACUCUCAGGAGAUAAAACCAGGUUGUGAUGCAGAAACUAGUCACCUAUCUACUCUAAGGAUCCUAAUAAUGGCAAUCUUGACCUUUUCUUUCUUUCUUUUUUUUUUUUUUUUUUUUGCUUUUUAGGCCUGCACCUGUGGCAUAUGGAGGUUCCCAGGCUAUGGGUUGAAUAAGAGAUACAGCUGCAGGUCUACACCACAGCCACAGCAACACAGGAUCCAAGCCACAUCUGCGACCCACACCAUAGCUCACAGGAACACCAGAUCCUUAACCACUGAGUGAGGCCAGGGAUUGAACCCACAUCCUCAUGGAUCUUAGUCGGGUUCAUUAAUUGCUGAGCCAUGAAGGGAACUCUGAUCUUGACCUUUUCUUAUGCAGCUAGGUUUGGCUUCCUAUUCAGUUAUUAAAAACUAAACAUUAUAUUAAUUAAAGAUAAACAUAUAUAUACAUAUAUAUAUGGAAAAACUAUAGAGAAAGACAAGGAAAUUGUUAAAAUAAAAGUAAGAAUUACUAAUAUUAAAGACAUCCUUCUUUGGGAAAGAGGGUGGGAAAUGAUACAGGGAAGAGCUACACUGCGGACACACGGAGGGCUUCUGUUUCUCAAUCUGGGUGGUAGGUAUGCAAGUACUC